rnacentral:tRNA from 1 species
GCUCUGGUGGCUCAAUCGGAUAGAGCGUUGGACUUCUAAUCCAAAGGUUGCGGGUUCAAGUCCCGUCCAGAAUA